UACUUUUUUUUUUCUUUCCCGGGGAUGACGCUGUGUUUGAGAGGAAUUCAUAAGCAGAAUUGAAUUUGUUUUAGUUAACUCCUUCUUUGAUUGGAAUAUUGUUGACUUAACAAAAUAGUGGAAAGAGCAUUGGGCUGAAGUGAGAAGAUUUGAGUUCUAGUCCAAGAUGUGUUACUAACCAGCUCUUUAACUCUGAGAAGUCAUUUGACUUGAAUUGUAGUCUUUUUCUUAGAUGGGAAAGGUGGAGUAUACUCAGAGUCUCUCCAAAGUGCUAAGAUUCUGUGAUUCUAUGAAAUCAGACCAUCAGAGAGGAAUACUGCAGUGUACUCCUGCAUGGGUUGUAAAUGAGAAAAAAUAAAGAAGGCGAGCAAAAUGACUGAAAGACAUUUUCAAGAAGAAAGGAGGAGAGAAGUCAUUGAAAUGAAAAAAUAAACGUAUUAUAUAACUAUUUAUUGCACUCUGCAAUAAAAACAUCUUCAGCAACAACCACCCAAGUGCGGGUGGAGGGUCUGCUUUGAAGAGAGAAAAAAGGCUACUGCAGAAAAAACAAACCUCAAUGCAUCAUUGGAGCUUUUGUUCUUUCUGGAUUGUUUUGUGAAGAACAUGCUGCCAAAAAAACAUUUUUCUUUCUGUAACUGCUUCUUUGGAGACUCCAUUCGUAUUUGUUUCAAGGAUGUUUAUUAUCUACUCAUUUCUUCUAAUUUAUUUUUGAAUCAUAUACCCCAAUGUCUAGAUGACUGGGACCACUAGGUUUCAUAUUUCCCAGAGGAGAUUAGCUGUACAGUUCAUUUUGCAGGUUUAUUCAGAACAUUUCAAUGGCAUUUCACCUACAGUUCACCUACAUUUAGUCCUAAGAAACUGAAGGUGUUUCUUGCUAGUUUUCCUGCUCCAUCUUCUUCCAGGGGGAUUGAUUUGGCUUCUUAUGUUUUUGUAUUUGGUUGCUCAUUAGAGAUAAGCCUGAUUAUUGGGCAUUGUGCAUUUUCUCUGUUUUAAAAAGGGAAAAUACAGCGUGUUAUUAAUUAUUGUGAUAAAUAAGAAAUGGAGAGAAGGCAAAAGAUUUUCAUCCUGA